rnacentral:rRNA from 1 species
CGAUUAGGGUUCGAUUCUGGCUCAGGAUGAACGCUAGCUACAGGCUUAACACAUGCAAGUCGAGCGGUAUGUGCUUUAGUGCAUACAGCGGCAGACGGGUGAGUAACACGUAUCUAACCUUCCCCUUACUUGGGCAUAGCCUCUGGAAACGGAGAUUAAUUUCCGAUGUGGUGUACAUUUCGCAUGUUUUGCGCACCAAAGAUUUAUCGGUAAGGGAUGGGGAUGCGCUCCAUUAGGUUGUAGGUAGGGUAAUGGCCUACCUAGCCUAUGAUGGAUAGGGGUUCUGAGAGGAAGGUCCCCCACAUUGGAACUGCGACACGGUCCAAACUCCUACGGGAGGCAGCAGUGAGGAAUAUUGGUCAAUGGCCGGAAGGCUGAACCAGCCAAGUAGCGUGCAGGAUGACUGCCUUAUGGGUUGUAAACUGCUUUUUUACGGGAAUAAUUAUGAUCACGUGUGAUUAUUUGCAUGUACCGUAAGAAUAAGGAUCGGCUAACUCCGUGCCAGCAGCCGCGGUAAUACGGAGGAUCCUAGUGUUAUCCGGAUUUAUUGGGUUUAAAGGGAGCGUAGGCGGGAGGUCAAGUCAGCUGUGAAAUGUAUCUGCUUAACGGGUACACUGCAGUUGAAACUGGUUUUCUUGAGUGCGUAAGAGGCAGGUGGAAUUCGUUGUGUAGCGGUGAAAUGCUUAGAUAUGACGAGGAACUCCUAUUGCGAAGGCAGCUUGCUGGGUCGUUACUGAC